rnacentral:rRNA from 1 species
CAAUUGGGGGUAUUCGUAUUUACAUGUCAGAGGUGGAAUUCUUGGAUUUUGGAAAGACGAACUAAUGCGAAAGCAUCUACCAAAGAUGUUUUCAUUGAUCAAGAACGAAAGUUUGGGGAUCGAAGAUGAUUAGAUACCAUCGUAGUCUAAACCAUAAACUAUGCCGACUUGCGAUUGUUUUGUGUCAUUUAAU